rnacentral:rRNA from 1 species
CGCUGGCGGCGUGCCUAAUACAUGCAAGUCGAACGGUCUUUCUAUGGAAGCUUGCUUCCACUGAGAAGAUAGUGGCGAACGGGUGAGUAACACGUGGGUAACCUGCCCAUAAGAGGGGGAUAACAUCCGGAAACGGGUGCUAAUACCGCAUAGUUUCUUGAUCGCAUGAUUGAGAAAGGAAAGACGGCCUUUGUGCUGUCGCUUAUGGAUGGACCCGCGGCGUAUUAGUUAGUUGGUGAGGUAACGGCUCACCAAGACGAUGAUACGUAGCCGACCUGAGAGGGUGAUCGGCCACAUUGGGACUGAGACACGGCCCAAACUCCUACGGGAGGCAGCAGUAGGGAAUCUUCCGCAAUGGACGAAAGUCUGACGGAGCAACGCCGCGUGAGUGAAAGAAGGUUUUCGGAUCGUAAAACUCUGUUGUCAGAGAAGAACAAGUUGGAGAGUAACUGCUCCAGCCUUGACGGUAUCUGACCAGAAAGCCACGGCUAACUACGUGCCAGCCGCCGC